GCUAUUCCUAAAUGACACUGACAUAUUAAUUUAUGUAUUUGUCUUUAAUUAAUAUAUAUAUAUAUAUAUAUUAUAUUUAAUUCAUUUAUUAUGUUAACACCACUAAAUAAUAAUAAUAAUAAUGAUGAUGAUAAUAAUAAUAAUAAUAAUAAUAAUAAUAAUAAUAAUAAUAAUAAUAAUAAUAAUAAUAAUAAUUAUAAAUAAAAAUGGGUAGUGAAAAAAUUAACUCAGAAAUUGCUAAGUUUCACAAAUACAAAGAAACGGCAAGUAACACGUUGAAAUUAGCAUGCAAAUUUGUAAUAGAAAGACUGAAACAGUAUUUUCUCAUUUAUUUACAUCUUAAUCACUUUUUUGUGGAUAUAAAGCAAAUUAAGAGUGCAUACAAUUUGUAGACAAUUUUAUAUUUACUAGCCCCCAACAUCCUCACAGUCUUACCACAUUGCUUUAGAAUAAUCUUAGCAGUCUUGUGAUCUACUUUUAUAGUUUUUAUGGUGUUUUUGUGGUCCUUUUAGGAGCAGUUAGCUGAUGUAAUAUAAACAAGAGAUGCAUGAAUAUUCUUUUUUCAAAAAUUCUAAAUUUCUGGAAAAAUAACAGCAUGCUGGUUUGUGGAGGUAUUUUUCUGUUUUAGCUGAACUAUUCCUUUAACAAAACACUAGAAAGCAGCUAGUGGUCAUUGAAGCACAACAACCACACAUGCAUACCCACAGAUAAACCCCCACACACAGUCUGUCUGUUUGUCUGUCUCUCUUUUGAUAGUGGCACUCUAUGGAUCUCUGGCAGACUCUCUUCUGUUGCACCUCCCCACCUCCAGAGAAGAGCUGCGUUCAGGGUGUUUGUGUGUGAGUGUGCUUUCAACGGCCAUGAAUAAUGAUCAGAGCAGUAGGGCGGGGAACAUGAGUAAUUGGACAAUUGACUCAAAGACUUUAGACUUUGCCAAAAAACAUCUGAGCCAGACCACUUCUGGAAAAGCAUUCUGUGGACAGCUGAAAUUAAGAUCAACCUGUACCAGAAUGAAAGGAAGAAAAAAGUGUGGAGAAGGCUUGGAACAGUUCAUGAUCCAAAGCAUACAACAUCAUCUGUGAAACAUGGUGGAGUAGAGUGAUGGCAGAGCCACUGGGUUACUGGUGUUUAGUGAUGAAGUGACAGAAGACAGAAGCAGCCGGAUGAAUUCUGAAGUGUAUAGGGAUAUACUAUCUGCCCAGAUUCAGCCAAAUACAGCAAAGUUGAUUGGGCGGCGUCUCAUAGUACAAAUGGACCAUGACCCAAAACAUACAACAAAAGCAAUCCUGGAGAUUUUGAAGAUAAGAAAGUGGAAUAUUCUAUAAAUGGCCAAAUUUCAACCCUGCUGAGCAUGCAUUUCACUUGCUGAAGACAAAACUAAAGGCAGAAAGACCCACAAACAAAAACAACUGAAGUCAGCUGCAGUAAAGGCCUGGCAAAGCAUCACAGAGGAGGAAACCCAGUCUCUGGGGGGGACUGGCUGUAUAUACAAAUAGUUGUAACACUUUUUUUUUUUUUAUUUUGAUAUUAUGUUUCUGGAGGUUAGCUUUUAUAAGAGAGUUUGUAAGCUAACCUCCAGAAUUAUAAUAUAUAAAUCUGAAAAUGUUUAAUUCAUUUACUUGAAACCUUGGAAGCUGUCAUUAAAAACAAAGUACCCCAUUAACCAUGACUUUAACUUUACUAAAAAUAAAAGCAGCAAAAAAAUAAAUAAAAAUAAAUAAAUAAAUUAAAAAAUAAAUAAAUAAAUAAAUAAGAGGCGUAGUGGUUAACAUGAAGUGUAAACAGAAAUGCAGUUCUAAUGGGACACAAAUGAAUCUUUAAUGAGACGAAUUCUGGCAUUUUUUCAUUACAUGCUGAGAAAGGACGUUAGAGACACUGUCAGUGUGCACAUGUGAUGAACUAGAUAAAGGGCCAGAAUGAUAUACUUAAGAAAGAAUUCUGUGGGAUGAACACAAGUUAAGCUUAUUAUUUGCAUUUAUGGCAUUAUGUCAACUGCAACUAAAUAAAUAAAUAAAUAAAUAAAUAAUAUGACUUGUUUCUUAAAAAAAAAAUAAAAAAUAAAAAAUUCAGAUAGAUGUAUAUAUAGAAAUAUACAAAUGAUAAACAAUAAACAAAUUCUAAAUUACACACUUUUUAUAGCCACAACACUAGUAUGAAUUGCUUGUUGUAGGUUUUAUGAUUUAUCCUUCAGCUUA
ensembl:lncRNA